rnacentral:rRNA from 1 species
GAUAAACGCUGGCGGCGUGCCUAACACAUGCAAGUCGAACGAUCCCGCAAGGGAGAGUGGCGGAAGGGUGAGUAACACGUGGGAAUCUACCUCCUCGCAGGGAACAACCUCUCGAAAGAGAGGCUAAUACCCAAAAGGGUCAGAAAUGAUCAGAGUCGAAAGGCGUGAGGAGAGGAGCCCGCGGCCCAUCAGCUAGUUGGUGAGGUAAUGGCUUACCAAGGCUACGACGGGUAGGGGAUCUGAGAGGAUGUCCCCCACACUGGAACUGAAACACGGUCCAGACGCCUACGGGUGGCAGCAGUGAGGAAUAUUGGACAAUGGGCGAAAGCCCGAUCCAGCAACGCCGCGUGGAGGAUGAAGGCCUUCGGGUCGUAAACUUCUUUAGAGGGAGACGAGAAAGGACGGUAUCCCUAGAAUAAGCGACGGCAAACUACGUG